UACGAAGGUCCCAAGCGUUAUCCGGAUUUAUUGGGUUUAAAGGGUGCGUAGGCGGCUUAUUAAGUCAGUGGUGAAAGCCCCAAGCUUAACUUGGGAAUUGCCAUUGAUACUGAUGAGCUUGAGUAGAUUUGAGGCGGGCGGAAUGUGUCGUGUAGCGGUGAAAUGCUUAGAUAUGACACAGAGCACCGAUUGCGUAGGCAGCUCGCUAAACUCUUACUGACGCUGAGGCACGAAAGCAUGGGGAUCAAACAGG
rnacentral:rRNA from 1 species